rnacentral:rRNA from 1 species
UGGCGAACGGGUGAGUAACGCGUGAGGAACCUGCCUCAAAGAGGGGGACAACAGUUGGAAACGACUGCUAAUACCGCAUAAGCCCACGGGUCGGCAUCGACCUGAGGGAAAAGGAGCAAUCCGCUUUGAGACGGCCUCGCGUCCGAUUAGCUAGUUGGUGAGGUAAUGGCCCACCAAGGCGACGAUCGGUAGCCGGACUGAGAGGUUGAACGGCCACAUUGGGACUGAGACACGGCCCAG